UACAGAAAAGCAAUGAGCCAAUAAGCGUAACUCAUCAUUAUGCAUCAGUGCUUAAAUAAGAAAUAUCAAGCGUGGCCUUUCUUCAAAGAUAGGGAGAGUUAAAGAGAAUAUUCAACCCUUUUUUGUUGAGACACAAGAGAUGGAAAAAUGGAUAAUGCAAAAGAGAGCCUGCCAGCUCAAGGUGUUCUUGGCAGCCCCGCUUCUCAAAAUGUCUGUCUCUUCCAGAGGAACAUCAGGUACCACAAGACCUGCAGCAUGGUAAUACAUAUGCAACUUGAUUGUCACAGUGAGAAUAGAACUUCACAACAGCAACAAAGUGCCAUAUUACUAACAUCACUGUACAGCGUGUAAACUAUUGUCAUGUAAAAUAUAGCUGUGGAUAUAUGUCUAUGUCUAUGCUGUUAUGCAGCUUUUAAUUCCUCAAUCUUCUACCUGAAAUCUUGUGCACUAGUAAAAACUAACAUACAGGAGAAGCGGUGCCGCAUUUCAGAUAAUUAACAAGGUGGCCAUAUGAGUUGAAUGACAUUUUAAUGUAGAACAUCACUUAACCUAUGGGAAACUAUAAGGCAUUACCAUGUGCACCGGCUUCUUUAACAACAGACAUGAAGUUGGUGACACCAUGCUUCAGGAUCGGGUUGUAAUAUGUGAAAAGCGCUAGAAGGCAGGACAUAUCAGGUACCACCUCUUUCACCAUUGAGACACCAUCCUCAAAUGUUCCCCCCUAACCCCCUUAAAAGAUCUUUUGGGCAGCUAAUGUCGAUGCUGUUAAUGCCAAUUCAAGAAAGAUGGAGCAACGGAAAAAUGAUCUGAAGGUAAUUCAUACAGCUAUAGUGUUUCCUUGGGGUUUAACUUGUAUAGCUACUGUUGACUUGUUAUGUGUCAUGUACAUCUAAACACAGGCUCUUGAAGCUACUUUGGAGCAGACUGUGCAAGAUGAGGGACUUGGAACAGUUGAUGAGCAGCAGGAGCACCGAGCACGUAUCUUGUCAAGCAAGAUGAGUAUAUGAAGAAAAUCCGAGAUUUAGGCUCAAUUGCCUGCUGAUGCUAAACUGGCUAACUAAGCCGCACAAUACCUUUUUUUAUAGUGUUAACCAUGCUGUAGUUAUUUUCUGGCCAAUAAUAAAGGUACAAGAGAAAGAACAAGCAGCAGCUGCUUUAUGACUGCACUGAGCAUUUGAAGUAAUUAGUCCUUCCUGAACUUCACUGAACAGCGGAGAAGACGCGCUGAACUUGAUGCUGAUGACGAGAAAUUAGAGAGUUGAUAUCAGUUUUAGACCAAGGAAGGAUGAAUCAAUUGAACACAUAUUUAAAGGAGUUUGCGAGGCACUUCCGUGAAGUGUUCUCUUAAUCAGUGCAAGGUGGCCACGGAUACUUGGUUAUGAUGAGGAAAAAGGGUGGUGAUGCUGGCGAUGAUGACAUUGAUGAGGACGCGGCUCGUGAACCAGAUCCUGAAGGUAGUAUAGAGAAGUAUAUUGGUGUGGAAGUCAAGGCAUGUGUUCUUUGCAGAGAUCUGUUAUGUAUUCAUGCACAUAUUAUUCGAAAUCUAUCAUAGAAAUUUAGAUGAUACUAUUUCCCAAGCUGUCCUGUCAAAAAAAAACUAUUCCCCAGUUAGUAAGCUCUUCCCGAAUCACUAUGGUGAUGACACCCUGUUUGUUUUUUCCUCAAAUUUGUUAAAGGCUGUGUGUUUGGAGACUCAUGCUUAGUCAUGUUUCAGGUUUCCUUCACUGGCAAGGGAGAAACUCUGUUCUGUCUGCCUCAUCAAUAAAAAUGGGGCGGGGGGGAAACCCCUAUCUUUCAAAAAAAAAAGAAAGGCAGUGGUGGCAUUAACACUGAUCUUCACUAUCCAACGAUGUGAUCCAGCUCCGUUCUACCUGUUUAUCCUCGCCAUAGAAGAGCCUUCAUAUGCCUGUUUUUUGAAACGAACAUCUCCUGGUCUAGUGUCUGUCUAGCUGGGUAUGCCCAACUAUGCCCUCCUGUGUUCAUUGAGCUGAAUCACAUGGUAUACAGCUGCUGCUGGGAACAUCCAUCCGAAUAUUUGCCGCUGCUUUCGGCAAGUCCUGUUGUGGGCGUGGUCAGGCGUCUGGCCGACCUGGUGGACACGCAGUUCAUAGCCACCACAUUGAGGCCAGAGAUCCUCAAGGUGGCGGACAAGAUCUACGGAACAGGGUGAGCUAUAUCAACGUGGCGUCCAAGGAGCAGAGCAGGCCAUGGACUUUGUCGAGCAUGACCAGACGCACAACGCCAGCUGAGGCCGACAGAAGCUCUGCCCAGACCGUGCGUGUUGUUCAUCUUAACAUUUUCAGUUAAAUCUUGGCAGCCCUUAUCAUACGCACGACUAUCUUUGUUUCCCGCGGAAAGAUGCUAGCACAGGAAGGCGUGUGUGUUGGCAUUCCUCUACUCCUGGACAUUGUAGGCCACUAGCUGUGUAUAUGUAGUUAGCCUUUGGACUGGUAACCUGUUUGAGUAUGCUUAGGAGUCGUUGGAUUGGUAAAAUUUGUUUAAGUAUGCUUUGGGAACAUGAGCGUGAUUGGAAACGCACGUUUUU